UCCGUAGGCGGAUUAAUAAGUCAGAGGUGAAAUCCCACAGCUUAACUGUGGAACUGCCUUUGAUACUGUUAGUCUUGAGUUAUAUGGAAGUAGAUAGAAUGUGUAGUGUAGCGGUGAAAUGCAUAGAGAUUACACAGAAUACAGAUUGCGAAGGCAGUCUACUACGUAUAUACUGACGCUAAUGGACGAAAGCGUGGGGAGCGAACAGGAUUAGAUACCCUGGUAGUCC
rnacentral:rRNA from 1 species